UAGGGAAUCUUCGGCAAUGGACGAAAGUCUGACCGAGCAACGCCGCGUGAGUGAAGAAGGUUUUCGGACCGUAAAACUCUGUUGGUAGAGAAGAACGUUGGUGAGAGUGGAAAGCUCAUCAAGUGACGGUAACUACCCAGAAAGGGACGGCUAACUACGUGCCAGCAGCCGCGGUAAUACGUAGGUCCCGAGCGUUGUCCGGAUUUAUUGGGCGUAAAGCGAGCGCAGGUGGUUUAUUAAGUCUGGUGUAAAAGGCAGUGGCUCAACCAUUGUAUGCAUUG
rnacentral:rRNA from 1 species